GUGGGGAAUAUUGGGCAAUGGGCGAAAGCCUGACCCAGCAACGCCGCGUGAAGGAAGAAGGUUUUCGGAUCGUAAACUUCUAUCCUUGGUGAAGAUAAUGACGGUAGCCAAGAAGGAAGCCCCGGCUAACUACGUGCCAGCAGCCGCGGUAAUACGUAGGGGGCAAGCGUUGUCCGGAAUGAUUGGGCGUAAAGGGCGCGUAGGCGGCCCGGUAAGUCUGAAGUGAAAGUCCUGCUUUUAAGGUGGGAAUUGCUUUGGAUACUGUCGGGCUUGAGUGCAGGAGAGGUAAGUGGAAUUCCCGGUGUAGCGGUGAAAUGCGUAGAGAUCGGGAGGAACACCAGUGGCGAAGGCGACUUACUGGACUGUAACUGACGCUGAGGCGCGAAAGUGUGGGGAGCAAACAGGAUUAGAAACCCGAGUAGUCC
rnacentral:rRNA from 1 species